rnacentral:rRNA from 1 species
CUGAAUUUAAGCAUAUAAGUAAGCGGAGGAAGAGAAACUAAAUAGGAUUCCCUCAGUAAUGGCGAACGAACAGGGAAGAGCUCAGAUUGGAUAUCGGGGCCUGUGGCUCCGAAUUGUAGUCUCGAAAUGCAAUGCCAUCGGGGGCGCAGAUUUAAGCCUCUUGGAAGAGAGCGCCGGCGAGGGUGAGAGUCCCGUUCGUCAAUUUGCAGUCCUCCGUACACGGCUUGCACUUGUUGAGUCACGUUCCUCGGGAUUGGAGCGCAAAUAGGGUGGUAAAUUUCAUCUAAAGCUAAAUAUAUGUUUGAGACCGAUAGCACACAAGUACCAUGAGGGAAAGAUGAAAAGGACUUUGAAAAGAGAGUUAAAAGUGCCUGAAAUUGCUGCAAGGGAAGCGGAUGGAACCAGUCCACGCGGUGAGAUUGUUGGGCGGAGGCGUGCGGGGUUGCACUUUCAACGAAAGUGGGGGUGUGAGUCUCAAUCGCCUUUCGCCUGAUGGUUCUUGCCGUGGGGGUCAUUGGUGAUUGGCAGCCGGGGAAACCUUCAAAGGCAUGGUAGCCCGUCUCCGGAUGGGUGAACGCGUUUGAUAGCACUCGGCCGCUGAUCAUAUCCGAGGUGUCCGGUAACUGGCGGCCUUGAGCGCAACGCGAGAACCAAUCGGUUCUUGCUGCGCGUUCGGCCGUAGGUCCUGACACACAUCUACGACCAAAUGGUUCUUUCCGACCCGUCUUGAAACACGGACCAAGGAGUCUAGCAUAUGUGCGAGUGCUUGGGCUGCAAACCCGUGCGCGCAACGAAAGUGACUGCUGGGAUGUUUGCACCAGCAACCGACUGAUCAAUUGCGAGACGUUUGAGUGUGAGCAUAUCUGCUAGGACCCGAAAGAUGGUGAACUAUGCCUGUGAAGAGCGAACCCAGGGGAAACUCUGGUGGAGGCUCGUAGCGAUACUGACGUGCAAAUCGUUCGU